rnacentral:rRNA from 1 species
UACGAAGGGGGCUAGCGUUGCUCGGAAUCACUGGGCGUAAAGCGCACGUAGGCGGCUUUCUAAGUCAGGGGUGAAAUCCUGGAGCUCAACUCCAGAACUGCCUUUGAUACUGGAGAGCUUGAGUCCGGAAGAGGUGAGUGGAACUCCGAGUGUAGAGGUGAAAUUCGUAGAUAUUCGGAAGAACACCAGUGGCGAAGGCGGCUCACUGGUCCGGUACUGACGCUGAGGAACGAAAGCUAGGGGAGCAAACAGG